UACGUAGGGUGCAAGCGUUGUCCGGAAUUAUUGGGCGUAAAGAGCUCGUAGGCGGUUUGUUGCGUCGGCUGUGAAAUCCCGAGGCUCAACCUCGGGUCUGCAGUCGAUACGAGCAAACUAGAGUGUUGUAGGGGAGACUGGAAUUCCUGGUGUAGCGGUGAAAUGCGCAGAUAUCAGGAGGAACACCGGUGGUGAAGGCGGGUCUCUGGGCAACAACUGACGCUGAGGAGCGAAAGCGUGGGGAGCGAACAGG
rnacentral:rRNA from 1 species